rnacentral:miRNA from 1 species
AAUAAUUAGCAUCAUCAGUCU